ACUCCUACGGGAGGCAGCAGUGGGGAAUAUUGGACAAUGGGGGAAACCCUGAUCCAGCCAUGCCGCGUGUGUGAAGAAGGCCUUCGGGUUGUAAAGCACUUUUCAGUGGGAGGAAAGGUUGUUGGUUAAUACCUAACAGCUGUGACGUUACCCACAGAAGAAGCACCGGCUAACUCCGUGCCAGCAGCCGCGGUAAUACGGAGGGUGCAAGCGUUAAUCGGAAUUACUGGGCGUAAAGCGUGCGCAGGCGGUCUGUUAAGCGAGAUGUGAAAGCCCCGGGCUCAACCUGGGAACUGCAUUUCGAACUGGCAGACUAGAGUCUUGUAGAGGGGGUAGAAUUCCAGGUGUAGCGGUGAAAUGCGUAGAGAUCUGGAGGAAUACCGGUGGCGAAGGCGGCCCCUGGACAAAGACUGACGCUCAGGCACGAAAGCGUGGGGGAGCAAACAGGAUUAGAUACCCCUGGUA
rnacentral:rRNA from 1 species